UUUGGGGAAAUUUUACUUGUACACUUUCUUUGGUACCACAUUUCAAGUAUACCACUAGUAUGGGGACAUUUUCACAAAUACACUUUUCAUUAAUGACCAAAAGACCAUACUAACCCUAACUUUAUCUCUCUCUCUCUCUCGCGACCAUCUUCUUUUCCUCUCUCUUUCUCUCGAUCUUUUUUCUUCUUCUCUGCCUCCGAUUCACCGGAGAUCCACCGUCUCUCUCUCGCGAUCUUUUUUCUUCCUCUCUGCCUCCGAUUCACUGGAGAUCCACCAUCUCUCUCUCAUUCCACCGGUUCUCUGCGGUUCACACUGUCGACUCCUACUUCUGUACAAGAUUCCCAACUGUUCCUGAGAAGCUGUGUUCAAGCUUAUACGAGAGCCACAACCCUGCCAGCACACAUUUGCUUCGAUGUACAAUGAAUAUGUUCCCUUUAGCGAACUAAUCUCCUCUGAUUCCUUGAUUGUGAAACCUCUGUUUCUCAGUUGUUGAUUUUGUUCCAUUUACUUUUUUACUUGCUCUCUCUCUCACAUACAAAGACCAUAGCUUUUCCACAAGUUUCGUGGCAGAAAAUUUUCAGGCAUUCUAUAUCAGAUUUUGAGUGUUUGGUUACUUUAACAGCCUGCUUCUGCUGAUGGAUCUGGAAACUGAAAAUCGAAUAGCUUCGGUUCUGUUGAGAGAAGCAGCAGAGUUGAGGAGACAAGCUGAAAAAGAUGGUGUCCGAGCUUAUCUUGAGAAGCCUAAUGUAAGGCAUCGACCUAACUCGAGGUUUCUCACAGCAACUGUCCUUGGUGUUCAACAAUUUCAGUGUUGGAGAAGUCUCCGGAGGCGGCUUUAGAUGUGGAUCAGACGAUCUUCGUGGUUGUGGCGGAAGACGUGGAGAGGAGCAAAACAACGGUGUUAUGGGCGGCAAGAAACUUCUCCAGCAAGAAGAUUUGCUUGCUUUACGUCCAUCGUCCUGCUCGGCCUGCCUCUUGCAGUGAGAAUCUUUUGUUUCUCUUUCUCUCCGACUUAACUGUUUUGUGGUGAAUUAUAGAAUAUUUAUGGAUGUUGAAUUGUUCUUGAGUGUAGAUUUGCUCAUGAAUCAUGAUUGAAUCUUACCGAGUCUAUAUAUAUAUCGUUUAGUUGAUUGUGGAUG